rnacentral:lncRNA from 1 species
GAACAUGGGCACUCAUCUCUCACCCACAUUUACUGAAUCCACUUCUCUCCUUUUAGAAGAGUGUAUGCUCGGAGGACAAACCACCCCUAGGUGAAGCUGCCCUGACGUCUGCAGGCUGUGGGCUCCUGUCCCACACAGAUUUCCUGCCCUGAGCUUCCUAAGAUAGGACCCACCUCAAAAAUCUUGCCUACAAGGGAUAUUUAUUUUGGCCUUUCUCAUAAACAUUGAAACCAACUUGAUAUCAGAAUUAAGAGGAGCUGGCUAAGGGGAGAGCAUCAGCUGUGAACGCAUGAGAAUGACGAGCCGGGUCCAUCCUGCUGCAACUUCCACCAGGGGCUCAGGCCAACGGGGAUAGGGAAGGAGGAGACACAUUUGCGAACAUUUCUGAGAGCACUCAGCCCGGGUUGGAGGAAGAGAGUGCCAGGAUGGAGAGAGGACAGUGGAGACGCACAAUGUGAUCCGUUCCUGCAGCUGCAUCUGGGGGAUGAAGGUGGAGAUGUCCCUGAAUUUAAUUCCCAAAAAGUCUGAGUAGCUGGAGCGGAAGCACUGUGGAACAUUCUACAACAUUCUCUCCAAUCCGUGGUGCUUCCCAGGGGACCACCAUUUCAACCCAGUCCACUCUGCCUUGAGAGCCCACAGAGCAAGCUUUUUCCCUUGGCCUGACACCAUCCUCCCCAUGGCAGUGAACAAACGGGUAAGACAUUCAGAGGGCCUGGACGUUUGUCAUCUUGACCUGAGUUUGCCUUGAGAUGACUUAGCCACUCAUGCUAUGGAACAAAAGUGGUCCUGGUGAGAAAGCCAGGAGCGAC